UCCCAGGUGGCUCAGCACUAAAGCAUCUGCCUGCCAAUGCAGGAGAUACAGGUUCAAUCCCUGAGUUGGGAA
rnacentral:tRNA from 1 species